CACUACUGCUUUUCUUUUACUUGACUCCUAAAGCUGUCAAGUCUGUUUCUUUUUCAGCGCUCUGUUUUCUGUCACAGCAAGAAAUUGCCACUGGCAGGAUGCCUCAUUGGAAGUGAAAUCUCAACACAGGAGCAAAAGCAUCAAGCUCCAUUUCCACAGAGCAAGGCACAAGAAAAAGGAGGGUGUAGUGUAUUUUUCAGACAUCAGGUGAGCAGGAGCAAACCUCACAUCUGUUACGCCAAUGGAUCAGCCAAGUCCUCUGGAAUAUCUUCACUAAGGACCAUUACUUUGUCUGAGCUACUGUGGUCAGUCAGCCCCAAUGUGUGAUGUCCAAAGGUGCUGUGAAGCAACAUGUGCUGGGCUACAGCCAGAUC
rnacentral:lncRNA from 1 species